GAGUUAUUUAAACUAUUCCAUUGGAGAUCGUCUGUUUUAUUUAUAGAAACCCAUGGUGGUAAGGUUUAUGAUCUAUUAAGCUCUGUAUUUUGUGUGAUGAAGCUUUAAGGUUAUUUUGACCGUUGAAAUUGUGUUAACUGUUGUAUUUUAUAUUCUUGGUCAUCUGCAAUUCUUCAUGAUGAGGUAUUCAAUUUGGUAAAUGUUUCGUUUGUUUGUGGCUGUUUGGUUUCAUCUUUUCUUGUAUUGAUUAUUUAUUGUAUUUUAUGUGAUUCUUUAUAGCACAAAUGUCUGCACAUUUUCUUUAUAUAAAAGUACCAGCCUUGUAGGUUGUUCAUUAAAAU
rnacentral:lncRNA from 1 species